rnacentral:lncRNA from 1 species
AGCACACACAUAUUACAUGGACAUUACAAGUCGUAACUUUCAGUCUUUCAAAAGUUCCUUCAAAACAAAUUAAAACGUUAAAAAACGGAGAUCGGGUAAUGAGUCUAAUUUUUUAAAGUAAUAGUUUCAGGUGAAGUUUUCACGUGUACCUGGCCAACUAGGUGCUCGUGAGUCGUGACAAUAGAAAUAAAAUUGCCUAAAAUCCAAUAAUCCAAGUUCGCAAGCUAUGUCUUCUGAAGCUAAACAAUUUCUGUUGCAAGAUUUUGUAAAUCUUCAAGAUAUUGAUGUCUUCGCCAGAUCCAAUUCUUUGAUGCUAUCUAUUUUGCGGCACAACAGCAAGAAAAUGCUGCCACUUAAGAUUUUGUGGUAAUCGCCACUUUGUUCUAAUUUAGGAGGGCAAUGUGAGAUUGAUAGGUUCGAGGUUAAUCCCUAUCAUCUGUUAUGGAAACCUACAAGAGAUUACUGGAAUUGAAGACUAAUAAUUUGCGAAGGUGUUCCCUUCUUUUCUGUGGCCCGUUUCCCUAACUAACCACUAACCAGGUCAAUCACUAUCACAAUCACUGAUAACCAGGAGGAUGAGGAGGGCUCUGGUCGAACGGGGACUUGGACGACGGAUUAUCUGAGAAAAACUUUUGGAGGGUCAUGAGUCUAUCCGGAAAUCCUGCUAUGACUAAUCGCUCCCUAGCAAAACUGGCCUCGUACUCUUCUUCACCGGCCAGGUGUUGUUUAUGUUCCUGUCAUUGCUGCCCGAUGUGGCACGUUGUUGCAGCCUAUGCUGGUGAAAGCUCUUAUUGCAUGAAGUUAAACUGGCUGUUCCUUGGUCCUGCUGUCGUGUUAAAUUGUAAUCGUGUCUAUACAGUUUACUGUUUUUGUGUUAAGAAAAAACAAAAACAGAAAUAUGGGGAUGUUUUAUGUCAAAAAAAUAAUAAACAUGUGUUUGGGAUUGGGAUAGGAAAGUAGAGGAUGUAGUAGGGAGGAGAUUUCAAGUAUGGAAAAAAUCAAUUAAUCUGUAACACAACAAACAUAUACCUACUAAUUAACCUCCAAACUCCACAAACUUGUAAUCUUCAAACCCCACAAACAUAUACCCAGCAUAUACCUACCAACUCUCAAACUUACACCCUCAACCCCAUAAACCAGUGUUAACUUAACAAAAUGAUGUAUGUAAUAAAUAAAAAAGAUACAUUUAA